UACAGAGGUCCCGAGCGUUGUUCGGAUUCAUUGGGCGUAAAGGGUGCGUAGGCGGCUUUCUAAGUCUGAUGUGAAAUCCUGGGGCUCAACCCUGGAACUGCAUUGGAUACUGGGAGGCUAGAGUACUGGAGAGGAAACUGGAAUUCUUGGUGUAGCAGUGAAAUGCGUAGAUAUCAAGAGGAACACCAGUGGCGAAGGCGAGUCCCUGGACAACUUCUGACGCUGAGGCACGAAAGCUAGGGGAGCAAACAGG
rnacentral:rRNA from 1 species